rnacentral:rRNA from 1 species
GAGUUUGAUCCUGGCUCAGGAUGAACGCUAGCUACAGGCUUAACACAUGCAAGUCGAGGGGCAGCAUGGUCUUAGCUUGCUAAGGCUGAUGGCGACCGGCGCACGGGUGAGUAACACGUAUCCAACCUGCCGUCUACUCUUGGACAGCCUUCUGAAAGGAAGAUUAAUACAAGAUGGCAUCAUGAGUCCGCAUGUUCACAUGAUUAAAGGUAUUCCGGUAGACGAUGGGGAUGCGUUCCAUUAGAUAGUAGGCGGGGUAACGGCCCACCUAGUCUUCGAUGGAUAGGGGUUCUGAGAGGAAGGUCCCCCACAUUGGAACUGAGACACGGUCCAAACUCCUACGGGAGGCAGCAGUGAGGAAUAUUGGUCAAUGGGCGAGAGCCUGAACCAGCCAAGUAGCGUGAAGGAUGACUGCCCUAUGGGUUGUAAACUUCUUUUAUAAAGGAAUAAAGUCGGGUAUGCAUACCCGUUUGCAUGUACUUUAUGAAUAAG